rnacentral:rRNA from 1 species
AUGAUCAUGACCACGCCCAGCUCCCAGUUCCAUUCCCAGCUGCUGCUAGUAAUCCUAGUAGUCGUUCUUGCCGCCGCGGCUGAAGGGCAGCGUCCGGGUUGCCCCGACAAAUGCGGCAACAUCAGCAUCCCCUUCCCGUUUGGCAUCGGCACCGGCUGCUUCCGCGAUGGCUUUGAGGUGGUGUGCAACGAAUCCGCCUCCGGUCCCCCUCGCGCCUUCCUUGCUGACAACGGAAUAUACAAGGAGGAGGCCAACAACUCCGAGAGUGGAUUUGACACCGCGACCUUCUCAAGUUCGCCGCUCGAGCUGGUGAGCAUAUCACUCGCCACGGCCGAGGUACGAGCAUACGCCCCGAUCUCCUACAGCUGCAGCACAAGUCGCACCGCGACAUUCUCCACUUUACAGCGUAUGGCAUUCUUUAUCUCGUCAUUUGCCAUGUCGUUGACGCGUAAUGUCCUCAUCGGGGUCGGCGCUGAACCCCAACUGAGUCUGGAUGGUUACAAUGUGUCUUGCCGCAUACAUGGUUGGCCAACCAUGGAGAGCGCGAGUAACGGGUCCUGCAUGGGGCUGGGCUGCUGUGAGGCCGCCCUUUCGACUGACCACGGCGAUGGUAGUUCCAUCACCUGGUCUAAGAAAGAGGGCGUCAUCUAUUGGGAAUCCCUCCCUUGCUCCUACGCCUUGCUGGUGGAGAAGUCAUGGUACAGUUUCUCUGAGUCGGACAUACGGGGCAACAUGACCCUAUUCAAAAAGUACCCCCGAGGCGUCCCCUUGGUGCUCGAUUUCGUCGCUGGAGAGACUUCAUGUCCAGGGAUAGGACACACGGCGCCUGGGGACUACGCAUGUGUCAGCGGCAACAGCUCUUGUGCCGACGUAACAUAUGGCUAUGUUUGCAAGUGCUGGGACCAUUACGCUGGCAACCCUUACCUCCCUAACGGAUGCCAAGACAUCGAUGAAUGCAAGCAACCUCAAGUGUAUCCCUGCGAAAAUGGCGGGAUCUGCAAAAACAGGCUAGGAGGCUAUGAAUGUCCAUGCAAAUUUGGAAUGAAAAUGUAUGGCAAUGCGGGAACCUGCAUAGAUGUAUUCCCUCCAGCAGCAAAGGCGGCCGUCGGUAGGUUACUACUCCCUCUGUUCUAA